GUGCUCACUUCAGCAGCACAUGUACUAAAACUGAAAUGAUACAGGGAUUAGCAAUGGCCCCUGUACAAGAAUGACAUUAAAAGGGUUGAAGCAGAGGCUCACAGCAACUGAUAAUUUU
ensembl:snRNA U6 U6 spliceosomal RNA